GGAGACUGCCCGGGUGACAAACCCGGGAGGAAGGUGGGGAUGACGUCAAGUCAUCAUGGCCCUUACGGCCUGGGCUACACACGUGCUACAAUGGUCGGUACAAAGGGUUGCCAAGCCGCGAGGUGGAGCUAAUCCCAUAAAACCGAUCGUAGUCCGGAUCGCAGUCUGCAACUCGACUGCGUGAAGUCGGAAUCGCUAGUAAUCGUGAAUCAGAAUGUCACGGUGAAUACGUUCCCGGGCCUU
rnacentral:rRNA from 1 species